GUAUCAUCGCAGAGUACCGGAGUUGUGAUUUGCAUCGCUGGUCACAGACAGCAAUGUUCUGUUAGGAUUAAUGAUAGCAGAAUGCUAACUAAUCAUACCUUACAAUGCUUGCAUGGCACUUUACAGUUUACAAAGCGCUUUCAAACUCAUUAUCUCAUCUCAGCUGAUCUGACUCCAAGUUCAGGGGGGGAGCGGACCCCUAGCUGGAACCUCUUACGUUCAAAAGCAGCGUUCUUUUCAUAUUUUGACCAGGGGUCUUGGCUUACCAUCCCCCCCCCCCAACUCAGGCAGAAUUCUUUAGAAUAAAACAUACGCAUUUAUGCAAAUGACUGUGCCAAUUUGAGAAGGGAGAAUCUGGUGUUCUCUGGAUCACAGGAGCCCAAGCCCUGCUACAGAUUCCCCGGGGUGUUUCUUUUUAGGCUAAAUGCCCAGCGUGGCAGCACUUGUUUCAAGCGAUCUCAAUUUAGAUGUGUGGACUUAAAAAAAA